UUUCCGUAGGUGAACCUGCGGAAGGAUCAUUAAUGAGUUGUCAUGGGGUUCGAUGCUGGCAGCCAACUUUUGGAUGCAUGUGCUUGCCCUAACAAUCAUCUUCCAAACACCUGUGCACAUUUUUGAGGGAGUCUUGAGUUGGUUGCCGCUCUUGGGUGAUUUUCUCACAUUCCCUUAAAUCAUUAUACGCUACUAACAAUGUUGAACGUGCUCUGUGCCGCAAGGCUAUUAAUAUAAUACAACUUUUAACAACGGAUCUCUUGGCUCUC
rnacentral:misc_RNA from 1 species